UAACUGUCACUGCGAUGUUGGCUGGGGUCCUCCAUUUUGUAAAACCAAGGGUCCUGGUGGCAGCAUCGACAGUGGUCCUAUGACUAGAACAGUCACAGUUCCAGGAAGUAAACCUAACCCGAUUGUUCUGAGUGUUGCGAUCAUGGCACCAGCUUUAAUGGUCCCGGUAUUGGCCUAUUUCUUCGCGAAGGUAUUUAUGAAGAAAGCCAAGAUUGCAAGUGCAAGAUCUCUAGCAGGUUAAAGAAAUGGUGGCUGUCCAAGAUUCAGACACCUGCCAGCCAACUGCAGAAUCUUAUGAAUCAUUUAAAAUAUUGCUAUAUGCACCCAUUGUGCUCAAAUAUUUGUUUUGUAUAUCACUAUGUAUUAAAAUUCUCUAAUAGUGGG